GGUUAACAGGUAUAGAUUCCUGGUAUUACAUGCAAGUAACUUUACAUUACUUCUUAUAAUAAAGUAACUACCUUGCCUGUGCUGCACAUUACGAAGUAUUUUGUUUUGAUUUACGUGGCUGGUUGGAAGUCUCUUUAUUACCUGAUUAUGUAUAAUGGACACUACAAAACGGAAUAAACAGAGCUAAUAAAUCAGAAAAUUAUGGGAAUGUUAUAAAUCUGAGUAGGUUCAUAUGUAAAAUAUUUAUAGGAUUCCAGCCAAUUAUUAAGCUAUGAAAGAGCCUAGACUAGUAAGCAUUGAGAUUCUGGGAUUUUAAUCUGGUUCAUCACAUCACACACUCUGGUGAGUGCUCUCAUCAGUAAUGUGAGUCACCAAAAAAAAAAAAAAAGGUGAAAUCAUAUGAUCAUUUUAAUGUGAGAUCACAAAUAUCUUUGUGGCAGCUUAAACAAAUCCGGGGGUAAACUAGCUCUUGCCAUAAAGAAUCACCUAGCCCUAGGAAUGCUCUCCUGUUUUGGCAUAGUGGUGAAACUAGGAUAUGUGGGACUGAUUGUCAGAAUGCAAGUGAAUGCCUGUGUGACAGUCAUUGCUGAGAAUUUAACCUUUGUAGUUGCUCCUUUCCUGCUGCUUUUCCCAAUGGCCUGCCUCAUCUUCACAGAAAUCUCUCUUGCCUCACUUGUCUGGAGCAUGUUGCCCUCCAGCACUUGUACUGAGCAGAAGUCACUCUGCAAGCCGCGGCUGGGUGUUGGCUAUCUGAAGGGUACGUGCAUAGCCUUUAUGCCACGGCUCCAGAUCUACGUGGGAAAAUCAGGGCUGCAAAUCUUUGAAGCCCUGAGGUGCCAUCCUUGCUCACUUCAUAAAUACACUUGAUGAUUAAGUAUCAUAAAAGAAAGCCUGACUUUUCCUACAGGAAAUUUUUUU
rnacentral:lncRNA from 1 species